GCCUAGAUAGCUCAGUCGGUUAGAGCACAGUGCUGGUAAUGCCAAGGCUGCGGGUUCAAUCCCCCUAUGGGACA